AGCAGCCGCGGUAAUUCCAGCUCCAAUAGCGUAUAUUAAAGUUGUUGCAGUUAAAAAGCUCGUAGUUGAAUUUCGGGAUCAAUACGUCGGUCGUGCUUCGGUACGUACUGGCGUCAUUGGUUUCUCCCUUCUGACGAACCAUGAUGUCAUUAAUUUGGUGUUAUGGGAAAUCAGGACUGUUACUUUGAAAAAAUUAGAGUGUUUAAAGCAGGCUCACGCUUGAAUACAUUAGCAUGGAAUAAUGAAAUAGGACGUUCGAUCCUAUUUUGUUGGUUUCUAGGAUCAACGUAAUGAUUAAUAGGGAUAGUUGGGGGCAUUAGUAUUCAAUUGUCAGAGGUGAAAUUCUUGGAUUUAUUGAAGACUAACUACUGCGAAAGCAUUUGCCAAGGAUGUUUUCAUUAAUCAAGAACGAAAGUUAGGGGAUCGAAGACGAUCAGAUACCGUCGUAGUCUUAACCAUAAACUAUGCCGACUAGGGAUCGGAUGAUGUUAAUUUUUUAAUGACUCAUUCGGCGCCUUACG
rnacentral:rRNA from 1 species